GUACGGUCGCAAGACCGAAACUCAAAGGAAUUGACGGGGGCCUGCACAAGCGGUGGAGCAUGUGGUUUAAUUCGAUACAACGCGCAAAACCUUACCAGCCCUUGACAUAUGAACAACAAAACAUGUCCUUAACAGGAUGGUACUGACUUUCAUACAGGUGCUGCAUGGCUGUCGUCAGCUCGUGUCGUGAGAUGUUUGGCCAAGUCCUAUAACAAGCGAAACCCUCGUUUUGUGUUGCUGAGACAUGCGCCUAAGGAGAAAUUGCCACCGAGUGAUGUGCCAGUGCUACUACUUGAUUGAGUGCCAGCACGUAGUUGUGCUUUCAGCAAGAAUUUCACCAUUGGGAGCCGGUGCCUUUCGAAGCACUUUCACGUGUGAACCGAAGUCGUCUUGCCCAAGACCCACGGAGACCUACCUAUAGUGACGUCAAAGUACCAGUGAGCAUGGAGGUUUGGUUGAAAUUGGUUACGAUGAUGUCGAGUUGGCGGCGGAGGAAGACUCGGCAUGAAGGCCAGAAAAUGGUGUGGAACGUAGUGGUAAUAGUACGCGCCCCGCUCCGAAGCAAAGAAAAAGGUGUGUGCCGCACUCACGAGGGACUGCCAGUGAGAUACUGGAGGAAGGUGGGGAUGACAUCAAGUCCGCAUGGCCCUUAUGGGCUGGGCCACACACGUGCUACAAUGGCAAUGACAAUGGGAAGCAAGGCUGUAAGGCGGAGCGAAUCCGGAAAGAUUGCCUCAGUUCAGAUUGUUCUCUGCACUCGAGAACAUGAAGUUGAAAUCGCUAGUAAUCACGGAUCAGCAUGCCGCGGUGAAUAUGUACCCAGUCCCUGUACACAUCGCCCGUCACACCCUGGGAAUUGGUUUCGCCCGAAGGAUCGGACCAAUGAUCACCCAUGACUUCUGUGUACCACUAGUGCCACAAAGGCCUUUGGUGGUCUUAUUGGCGCANGCAUACCACGGUGGGGUCUUCGACUGGGGUGAAGUCGUAACAAGGUAGCCGUAGGGGAACCUGUGGCUGGAUUGAAUCAUUC
rnacentral:ncRNA from 1 species